rnacentral:sRNA from 1 species
ACUAGACGCUUGAAGCAAAGCUGCCAUCCCAGAAGACGACAUGCUCUCAGCAACCCCCCUGUAUGGGAACGUUCACAGCUGGAUGAACAGCGAGAGGGUCCGCAUGUGUGGGGCGAGCGAAGACAGGAAAAUCCUUGUAAAUGAUGGUGACGCUUCAAAAGCCAGACUGGAACUGAGGGAAGAGAAUCCCUUGAACCACAACGUGGUGGAUGCGAGCACGGCCCAUAGGAUCGAUGGCCUGGCAGCACUGAGCAUGGACCGCACUGGCCUGAUCCGGGAAGGGCUGCGGGUCCCCGGAAACAUCGUCUAUUCUAGCUUGUGUGGACUGGGCUCAGAGAAAGGUCGGGAGGCUGCCACAAGCACUCUAGGUGGCCUUGGGUUUUCUUCGGAAAGAAAUCCAGAGAUGCAGUUCAAACCGAAUACACCCGAGACAGUGGAGGCUUCUGCCGUCUCUGGAAAACCCCCAAAUGGCUUCAGUGCUAUGUACAAAACACCGCCUGGAAUACAAAAAAGUGCUGUAGCCACAGCAGAAGCGCUGGGCUUGGACAGGCCUGCCAGCGACAAACAGAGCCCUCUCAACAUCAAUGGUGCUAGUUAUCUGCGGCUGCCCUGGGUCAAUCCUUACAUGGAGGGUGCCACGCCAGCCAUCUACCCUUUCCUCGACUCGCCAAAUAAGUAUUCACUGAACAUGUACAAGGCCUUGCUACCUCAGCAGUCCUACAGCUUGGCCCAGCCGCUGUAUUCUCCAGUCUGCACCAAUGGGGAGCGCUUUCUCUACCUGCCGCCACCCCACUACGUUGGUCCCCACAUCCCAUCGUCCUUGGCAUCACCCAUGAGGCUCUCGACACCUUCGGCCUCCCCAGCCAUCCCGCCUCUCGUCCAUUGCGCAGACAAAAGCCUCCCGUGGAAGAUGGGCGUCAGCCCUGGGAAUCCUGUUGAUUCCCACGCCUAUCCUCACAUCCAGAACAGUAAGCAGCCCAGGGUUCCCUCUGCCAAGGCGGUCACCAGUGGCCUGCCGGGGGACACAGCUCUCCUGUUGCCCCCCUCGCCUCGGCCGUCACCCCGAGUCCACCUUCCCACCCAGCCUGCUGCAGACACCUACUCGGAGUUCCACAAGCACUAUGCCAGGAUCUCCACCUCUCCUUCAGUUGCCCUGUCAAAGCCAUACAUGACAGUUAGCAGCGAGUUCCCCGCGGCCAGGCUCUCCAAUGGCAAGUAUCCCAAGGCUCCGGAAGGGGGCGAAGGUGCCCAGCCAGUGCCCGGGCAUGCCCGGAAGACAGCGGUUCAAGACAGAAAAGACGGCAGCUCACCACCUCUGUUGGAGAAGCAGACCGUUACCAAAGACGUCACAGAUAAGCCACUAGACUUGUCUUCUAAAGUGGUGGAUGUAGAUGCUUCCAAAGCUGACCACAUGAAAAAGAUGGCUCCCACGGUCCUGGUUCACAGCAGGGCUGGAAGUGGCUUAGUGCUCUCCGGAAGUGAGAUUCCGAAAGAAACACUAUCUCCUCCAGGAAAUGGUUGUGCUAUCUAUAGAUCUGAAAUCAUCAGCACUGCUCCCUCAUCCUGGGUGGUGCCCGGGCCAAGUCCUAACGAAGAGAACAAUGGCAAAAGCAUGUCGCUGAAAAACAAGGCAUUGGACUGGGCGAUACCACAGCAGCGGAGUUCAUCAUGCCCGCGCAUGGGCGGCACCGAUGCUGUCAUCACUAACGUUUCAGGGUCAGUGUCGAGUGCGGGCCGCCCAGCCUCCGCAUCACCCGCCCCCAAUGCCAAUGCAGAUGGCACCAAAACCAGCAGGAGCUCUGUAGAAACCACACCAUCCGUUAUUCAGCACGUGGGCCAGCCCCCGGCCACUCCUGCCAAGCACAGUAGCAGCACCAGCAGCAAGGGCGCCAAAGCCAGCAACCCAGAACCGAGUUUCAAAGCAAACGAGAACGGCCUUCCACCAAGCUCUAUAUUUCUGUCUCCAAAUGAUGCAUUCAGGUCCCCACCAAUUCCCUACCCCAGGAGUUACCUCCCUUACCCAGCCCCCGAGGGCAUUGCUGUAAGUCCCCUCUCCUUACAUGGCAAAGGACCUGUCUACCCUCACCCAGUUUUGUUACCCAAUGGCAGUCUGUUUCCUGGGCACCUUGCCCCAAAGCCUGGGCUGCCCUAUGGGCUUCCCACCGGCCGUCCAGAGUUUGUGACCUACCAAGAUGCCCUGGGGUUGGGCAUGGUGCAUCCCAUGUUGAUACCACACACGCCCAUAGAGAUCACUAAAGAGGAGAAACCAGAGAGGAGAUCCCGGUCCCAUGAGAGAGCCCGUUACGAGGACCCAACCCUCCGGAAUCGGUUUUCCGAGAUUUUGGAAACUAGCAGCACCAAGUUACAUCCAGAUGUCCCCACCGACAAGAACCUAAAGCCGAACCCCAACUGGAAUCAAGGGAAGACUGUUGUCAAAAGCGACAAGCUUGUCUACGUAGACCUUCUCCGAGAAGAACCAGAUGCUAAAACUGACACAAACGUGUCCAAACCCAGCUUUGCAGCAGAGAGUGUUGGCCAGAGCGCUGAGCCCCCCAAGCCCUCAGUUGAGCCGGCCCUGCAGCAGCACCGUGAUUUCAUCGCCCUGAGAGAGGAGUUGGGGCGCAUCAGUGACUUCCACGAAACUUAUACUUUCAAACAGCCAGUCUUCACCGUAAGCAAGGACAGUGUUCUGGCAGGUACCAACAAAGAGAACCUAGGGUUGCCAGUCUCGACUCCAUUCCUGGAGCCACCUCUGGGGAGCGAUGGCCCUGCUGUAACUUUUGGUAAAACCCAAGAGGAUCCCAAACCAUUUUGUGUGGGCAGUGCCCCACCAAGUGUGGAUGUGACCCCCACCUAUACCAAAGAUGGAGCUGAUGAGGCUGAAUCAAAUGAUGGCAAAGUUCUGAAACCGAAGCCAUCUAAGCUGGCAAAGAGAAUCGCCAACUCAGCGGGUUACGUGGGUGACCGAUUCAAAUGUGUCACUACCGAACUGUAUGCAGAUUCCAGUCAGCUCAGCCGGGAGCAACGGGCAUUGCAGGUGAGCCCCCCCACCUGAAUUUCAGUUACUUUACCAGUUGUCAGUUUUUUAAUGUGUAAACAGGAUUGGGGGAGUAUGGUAGGGCAGGGCACCAGGCAGAUUUGGUGAAUGAAGCUUGUGGUAAUUUGAAUGUAUGCAAUGUGGCCAGUAAGAGAACGUGAGUGGUAGCACUGAGGCGUGUCUGGAUGCUUUAAGUUAUUCUGUAGAUUAUAAGGGAACUCCACUCAAUUGCUGAUAACCGAUGUUUUAAUUAUUGUGAAGGGUAUCUAAAGACUGCAUGACGUUUACCUAUCAAUUGCUUUGAUUUCUCUGCCUGUAAGAUAGCAAAUAUACCUAGAAGUGCUGCUUAGAAUGCCUUACUUGAUACCUGGUAGAGAUGUGUAGCAGCCGCAUGUCUGUGGGAUUCAUGCAAAUUUUUCACCAAAAAGAAAGGAAAAAAAAA